UAGUUGCAAGGUAUAGACCCGAAACCCGGUGAUCUAGCCAUGGGCAGGUUGAAGGUUGGGUAACACUAACUGGAGGACCGAACCGACUAAUGUUGAAAAAUUAGCGGAUGACUUGUGGCUGGGGGUGAAAGGCCAAUCAAACCGGGAGAUAGCUGGUUCUCCCCGAAAGCUAUUUAGGUAGCGCCUCGUGAACUCAUCUUCGGGGGUAGAGCACUGUUUCGGCUAGGGGGCCAUCCCGGCUUACCAAACCGAUGCAAACUCCGAAUACCGAAGAAUGUUAUCACGGGAGACACACGGCGGGUGCUAACGUCCGUCGUGAAGAGGGAAACAACCCAGACCGCCAGCUAAGGUCCCAAAGUCAUGGUUAAGUGGGAAACGAUGUGGGAAGGCAUAGACAGCCAGGAUGUUGGCUUAGAAGCAGCCAUCAUUUAAAGAAAGCGUAAUAGCUCACUGGUCGAGUCGGCCUGCGCGGAAGAUGUAACGGGGCUAAACCAUGCACCGAAGCUGCGGCAGCGACGCUUAGGCGUUGUUGGGUAGGGGAGCGUUCUGUAAGCCGUUGAAGGUGGCCUGUGAGGGUUGCUGGAGGUAUCAGAAGUGCGAAUGCUGACAUAAGUAACGAUAAAGCGGGUGAAAAGCCCGCUCGCCGGAAGACCAAGGGUUCCUGUCCAACGUUAAUCGGGGCAGGGUGAGUCGACCCCUAAGGCGAGGCUGAAAAGCGUAGUCGAUGGGAAACAGGUUAAUAUUCCUGUACUUGGUGUUACUGCGAAGGGGGGACGGAGAAGGCUAGGCUAGCCGGGCGACGGUUGUCCCGGUUUAAGCGUGUAGGGGGUGUGACCUGGUAAAUCCGGUUGCAUACUAACCCUGAGGCGUGAUGACGAUGCACUACGGUGCAGAAGUAGUUGAUGCCCUGCUUCCAGGAAAAUCCUCUAAGCUCCAGGUAACAUUAAAUCGUACCCCAAACCGACACAGGUGGUCAGGUAGAGAAUACCAAGGCGCUUGAGAGAACUCGGGUGAAGGAACUAGGCAAAAUGGUGCCGUAACUUCGGGAGAAGGCACGCUGGCAUGUAGGUGAAGUCCCUUGCGGAUGGAGCUGAAGCCAGUCGAAGAUACCAGCUGGCUGCAACUGUUUAAUAAAAACACAGCACUGUGCAAACACGAAAGUGGACGUAUACGGUGUGACGCCUGCCCGGUGCUGGAAGGUUAAUUGAUGGGGUCAGCCGCAAGGCGAAGCUCUUGAUCGAAGCCCCAGUAAACGGCGGCCGUAACUAUAACGGUCCUAAGGUAGCGAAAUUCCUUGUCGGGUAAGUUCCGACCUGCACGAAUGGCGUAAUGAUGGCCAGGCUGUCUCCACCCGAGACUCAGUGAAAUUGAACUCGCUGUGAAGAUGCAGUGUACCCGCGGCAAGACGGAAAGACCCCGUGAACCUUUACUAUAGCUUGACACUGAACAUUGAGCCUUGAUGUGUAGGAUAGGUGGGAGGCUUUGAAGCGUGGACGCCAGUCUGCGUGGAGCCAUCCUUGAAAUACCACCCUUUAAUGUUUGAUGUUCUAACUCGGCCCCAUAAUCUGGGGUGAGGACAGUGUCUGGUGGGUAGUUUGACUGGGGCGGUCUCCUCCCAAAGAGUAACGGAGGAGCACGAAGGUUAGCUAAUCACGGUCGGACAUCGUGAGGUUAGUGCAAAGGCAUAAGCUAGCUUGACUGCGAGAGUGACGGCUCGAGCAGGUACGAAAGUAGGUCUUAGUGAUCCGGUGGUUCUGAAUGGAAGGGCCAUCGCUCAACGGAUAAAAGGUACUCCGGGGAUAACAGGCUGAUACCGCCCAAGAGUUCAUAUCGACGGCGGUGUUUGGCACCUCGAUGUCGGCUCAUCACAUCCUGGGGCUGAAGUAGGUCCCAAGGGUAUGGCUGUUCGCCAUUUAAAGUGGUACGCGAGCUGGGUUUAGAACGUCGUGAGACAGUUCGGUCCCUAUCUGCCGUGGGCGUUGGAAGAUUGAGAGGGGUUGCUCCUAGUACGAGAGGACCGGAGUGAACGCACCACUGGUGUUCGGGUUGUCAUGCCAAUGGCAUUGCCCGGUAGCUAAGUGCGGAAAAGAUAAGCGCUGAAAGCAUCUAAGCGCGAAACUUGCCUCAAGAUGAGUCUUCCCUGGGCCUUUAAGGCCCCUGAAGGAACGUUUAAGACUAAGACGUUGAUAGGCUGGGUGUGUAAGUGCAGCGAUGCAUUGAGCUAACCAGUACUAAUGAUCCGUGAGGCUUAACCUUACAACACCGAAGGUGUUU
rnacentral:rRNA from 1 species